GAGACAGCAGCCGCCACGGUAAUACGGAGGAUCCAAGCGUUAUCCGGAAUCAUUGGGUUUAAAGGGUCCGUAGGCGGUCUUGUAAGUCAGUGGUGAAAGCCCAUCGCUCAACGGUGGAACGGCCAUUGAUACUGCAGGACUUGAAUUAUUGGGAAGUAACUAGAAUAUGUAGUGUAGCGGUGAAAUGCUUAGAGAUUACAUGGAAUACCAAUUGCGAAGGCAGGUUACUACCAAUUGAUUGACGCUGAUGGACGAAAGCGUGGGUAGCGAACAGGAUUAGAUACCCGUGUAGUCCCUGUCUCUUAUAC
rnacentral:rRNA from 1 species